rnacentral:lncRNA from 1 species
AGGUUCCUGUAUCUUCAUGUCGAGUUGGUCGCUGCCCAACGUAGAGGACUAGGAAUCAGGAGUCAGUGGCCGUAUGCUGGAGGCUGGAGCCACGUGAACGCGGCUCGCCUUGCUGCGGUUGUUGGCAGUGAUGGAGAGAUAGCAGCGCGACUGGAGCGCUACAUUUACUAGAGCGACAAAAAGUGCUACAAGAAAAAGAUGAGCUCAGAAAAGCACUGGCCAGUUUAGAAGAAUUAAAAGAGAAAAAAACAGAAAUUAUCGGACUUGCAGGAUUAAGAUGUAAGUAUUUUUCAUGUCCAACUUGUAAAAGAUAAGAAAUGUUUUGAGUGACAAGUCCAAUUAGGACUCAGUCUUUGAUUUAGACAAAAUCCAGAGAAUAGCUUUCAUAUCCUCGUUGAAACCAACUAAUUAAGCAACAUGCCAAAAUUCCUUUCAGCUCGACAAAAGGGCUCCAUGAAGAGACUAAGGAUGGACUUUUACA